AAGGUUACACUGUCUCCUUUUUCUAAUCAGUAAAACUAAUCUCCCCGUGAAGAAGCGGGGAUCCUUAUAUAAGACGAGAAGACCCUAUGGAGCUUUAAACGAAAUAACAUCUACCAACUCAACCAACAAUUUCAGAAAAUUAACACUAAACUUGGUAUAAUGAUUACUAGUUUUAGGUUGGGGUGACCGCGGAGCAAAAAACAACCUCCGCAUUGAAUGGACUUACACUCCUAAACAAAAAGCCACAACUUUAUGUAUCAACAUAUUGACAUCCAUUGACCCAUUAAUUUGAUCAACGAACCAAGUUACCCUAGGGAUAACAGCGCAAUCCAUUUCAAGAGCCCCUAUCGACAAAUGG
rnacentral:rRNA from 1 species